rnacentral:misc_RNA from 1 species
GAUGAAGAAAGCAGCGAAAUGCGAUAAGUAAUGUGAAUUGCAGAAUUCAGUGAAUCAUCGAAUCUUUGAACGCACAUUGCGCCCGCCAGUAUUCUGGCGGGCAUGCCUGUUCGAGCGUCAUUACAACCCUCAGGCCCCCGGGCCUGGCGUUGGGGAUCGGCGGAAGCCCCCUGCGGGCACAACGCCGUCCCCCAAAUACAGUGGCGGUCCCGCCGCAGCUUCCAUUGCGUAGUAGCUAACACCUCGCAACUGGAGAGCGGCGCGGCCACGCCGUAAAACACCCAACUUCUGAAUGUUGACCUCGAAUCAGGUAGGAAUACCCGCUGAACUUAAGCAUAUCAAUAAGCGGAGGA